rnacentral:ncRNA from 1 species
AAAAUUAAAUAAACAACUUCGUAUAACCCUAUUAAUCUGGUAUAGGGGUCUCUACCACGGAACCAUAAUUCCUGCUUACGAAGAAGAUAUGU